UGCUAUCGGGAUGAGACUAAGACAUGCUAGUCGUGCGCCUCUAAGCCACGGUGGAGGCGCGGCGCACAGCUCAGUAACACGUGGCUAACCUGCCCUUGGGACAGAAACAUCCCCGGGAAACUGGGGCUAAUUUCCGAUAGGUGAAGAAUCCUGGAAUGGAUCUUCGCUCAAAAGACGUUUAGACCAUGCUUCUAGGCGUUGCCCAAGGAUGGGGCCGCGGCCGAUCAGGUUGUUGGUGAGGUAACGGCUCACCAAGCCUUUAACCGGUACGGGCCGUGGGAGCGGUAGCCCGGAGAUGGGAACUGAGACAAGGUCCCAGGCCCUACGGGGCGCAGCAGUCGCGAAAACUCUGCAAUACGCGAAAGCGUGACAGGGUCAUCCCGAGUGCCGUCCGCUGAGGAUGGCUUUUACCCAGUGUAGAUAGCUGGGGGAAUAAGGAGAGGGCAAGUCUGGUGUCAGCCGCCGCGGUAAUACCAGCUCUUCGAGUGGUGGGGACGUUUAUUGGGCCUGAAGCAUCCGUAGCCUGCUGGACAAGUCCUUCGUUAAAUCCAGCGAUUCAAUCGUUGGACUGCGGGGGAUACUGUUCGGCUGGGAGAUGGUAGAGGCCAACGGUAUUCUCGGGGUAGGGGUGAAAUCCUAUAAUCCCGGGAAGACCACCAGUGGCGAAAGCUGUUGGCUAGAACAUGCUCGACGGUGAGGGAUGAAAGCUGGGGGAGCGAACCGGAUUAGAUACCCGGGUAGUCCCAGCUGUAAACGAUGCACGCUAGGUGUUAGGGCGGCCACGUGCCGCUCUAGUGCCGCAGGAAGCUGUUAAGCCUGCCGCCUGGGGAGUACGGCCGCAAGGCUGAAACUUAAAGGAAUUGCGGGGAGCAC
rnacentral:rRNA from 1 species